UUCUCUCAGCAAAUUUUAUUGUAAUGAUGGAAAAAUUAAAAAUAUACAAAUUUGUCAUUGUCGAAUUUUUAAAUGAAAAAUCUACUGAUAUUGUGCCAUCAAUUUGGAUUAGUGUUGAAAAUGUUCGAUUUAUUUGUUUUAAAAAACCCCUUCCUGAUUGGGAAAGCUAUAUUUGUUCUCCUCAAAAGUUUUUUAAUACUUAUUCUGAAGCUAAACGUUAGCUUUCCAAUUUUUGUGAGACAAGUACUAUAGAAAUUGAAGAAGAUAUAAUAUAUAAGCCAAGAAAGUGUGUUCUAAAACAGAAUUAUGAUUCUUUUUCUGAUUAUGAAAAUGAUUUCUUCACCCAACCUAAAAAGACACAGAACCGAGUUUCUCAAAUAAAACAAGUUACAAGCAUUAAGACAGAUAAAAAUAAAACUGUAAAUGAGUUAAGUAUUGAUUUGAAUAAAAUUUCUAAUAAUACUAAUACACCAAAACCAAAAAGUAUAUCAAUAAUUAUUUUAUAUAUUAUUACAAAUAAUAUUUUUGAUUUCAAAUAUAUUAUAAAUUAUAACUGUUUUAGAUUUGUUUAAUAUAUUUGAUGAAUUGAUUACUGAUGAUUUGUCAACUUGUGUUCAGAAAAACACGAAUUAUCAAGCUUCAUCGCCAGAAAUAUUUUUGAACAACUACACUCAAAAUGAAAAUCAAGAACAUUUAACAGUUUCAUCAUUGUAUAAAAUGACUUAUGAAAAUGUUUACUUUGGAUCUCUAUUAUGCACCAAGGAUAUUCACUUUUCCAUCAGAAACCACCCCAAAAUUUGAAAUUUAAGCAUUAUUUUUCGACUAGUUAUGCUAUACACAGAUACAAAAAAAAAACACACAUCAUUGUAUAAUCAAUACAUUUGUCACUU